rnacentral:rRNA from 1 species
UACAGAGGCCUCGAGCGUUGUUCGGAAUUACUGGGCGUAAAGGGAAUGUAGGUGGUCGGGUAAGUCAGAUGUGAAAGCCCUGGGCUUAACCUGGGAAGUGCAUUUGAUACUGCUCGGCUUGAGUGCGAGAGAGGAAAGCGGAAUUCCUGGUGUAGGAGUGAAAUCCGUAGAUAUCAGGAGGAAUACCGAUGGCGAAGGCAGCUUUCUGGCUCGUAACUGACACUGAGAUUCGAAAGCAUGGGUAGCAAACAGG